rnacentral:rRNA from 1 species
UACAGAGGUCUCAAGCGUUGUUCGGAUUCAUUGGGCGUAAAGGGUGCGUAGGUGGCAUGGUCAGUCGGGUGUGAAAUCUCGGAGCUUAACUCCGAAACUGCAUUCGAUACUGCCGUGCUUGAGGACUGGAGAGGAGACUGGAAUUUACGGUGUAGCGGUGAAAUGCGUAGAUAUCGUAAGGAAGACCAGUGGCGAAGGCGGGUCUCUGGACAGUUCCUGACGCUGAGGCACGAAGGUCAGGGGAGCAAACGGG